AUGAGCUGGGCUUUCUGCUUGCCAGAUGCCACAAAACUGACCGAGAACUUGGCGUGGCAGCGUCCUAACUUACACAGAUGGGCACCCCCGUGCGCUGGCCUGCGCCCAGGAACCUGUGCAGGAGUGACUUCUGGGCACCCUCUCCCCCGGAGUUGGGUGCAUCCAGGUGGGCGGGCUUCCAGUCCCCUCCCAGCCACCCAUCAGGUCUGGGAGGAGCCGGCCUCUGUGCCACCGGCUGCUCACCCGUCUCAUGCAGGGGAGGGCUGGCCCGGGCUGGGUGCCACUAACCUCUCCCCAUCGGGCUUAUCUCAAGGCUGCUUUGACAGUUGUGUGCCACCUGGGGCGGACCCAGCAGCCCUGCCCAGCCCCCUCCACGGGGCCGGGGCCAGCGACCUGGGUGUCAUCCUGGAAAAAGGGCUGCGGCCAUGUGGGGGCCCGAGGGCUGCGUGGUCGGAGACCAGAACCUGCCAUCUUGCCUUUGCCCCCCGAAUCCUCCAGGCUGGCUCCCUGAACUCCUGGCCUGUGUAUUCCCGGGGGGCUGCCUCUUGGGGCCACAGCCAGGACGCCAAGGGGGCUGCUCCUGUCCUUCUCUGGGAAGCCCAGCCCUGCGCCCGCCCCGCACGGGGCUGCUGUGUGGGUGGCGGCUGGCGGCAGCCAAGCGCUGAAGCCUCGGGCCCGGCCCACCCGCGGCUUCCCUCCUCCCCACAGCCUGUCUCCCUCCCCGUCUCCCCAUGCCCAGCUCUGGGGAGGCAGCCUGUCUCCCUCCCGUCUCCCCGUGCCCAGCUCUGGGGAGGCAGCCUGUCUCCCUCCCGUCUCCCCGUGCCCAGCUCUGGGGAGGCAGCCUGUCUCCCUCCCGUCUCCCCACGUCAGGACUCGGAACCGUCCGCUCCUGCCGAGUCCGGAGCCUUGGGUGUUGCUCAGGUUGUUGCCCGGUCAAGGACGGCUUUCCUGAGAGCGGUCCAGGGUGUCCUGCUUGCCCACCCCACCCCCGCAGGGCAGCGCCACGCUUCCAGGCUCGGCUCGAACCUUCUGGAAAGGGCACGUGGGCGCAGAAGUCAGCAGGCGUCUCGCUCCCGGGGACACUUACAGCGACUGCCUCCGCCCAGUGUUUUCAGCUCGCGGCCCCCGCAGCUCACCUGA
rnacentral:lncRNA from 1 species